ACGGAUAAAAAAUUGCACAAUACCACACAUGGUAUAAUACUCAUCCUCAGACGGGGUUAGCACCUAUGGUAGGUGUGUACAUAUGCGUGGUGCUCAUCCUUAGCAAGUCCAGGUACUCCUAGUAUACUUACCAAAAAGUUGGCAACAUCACAUCUACAUUUGGCAUACCUUCCAAGAUUUAAUCUUAAUUCCAGGCACCCACUACUAUAGCAUGGGAUUUCCAAUAGUAAUAUUCACAGAAUUCACAGAAUUCGGACUAAAUCUUCAUUUACCACAAUAUGCAAAUAUAUGUACAUACUUAUGCAUGCUUUAUAUGGGCGAUCUUAUUCAGUCAUGGUGCUUGGUUUUUGCUAGGACUUGUAUGGAAUUAACGGCAAUAACACAUAUCUCAGGAGAUUGAGGUGCUGCUGGAUGGAUCGAUGAGGUGAGAUAAAUCGGGUAUAAAAGGUUGUGCGGUCGCAGAGGUCCCUCAGUCGCAGUCUUGUCAGCUCAAUCUCCAUUUAUCCAGUUCUCACUUUUAAAACGAUACACAAAAUGCGUGCCUUAUUCUUAGCUCUCUUGCUCGUGUGCUUCGUAGCAGCAAUUUCUGCCCAAUAUUACGGCGGAUACGGAGGGUACGGUGGAUACGGAGGGUACGGCGGAUACGGCGGAGGUUAUCGACGACCCUAUUACGGAGGAUAUGGAGGUUAUGGUGGCUACCGAGGACAUCACGGUGGUUACGGAGGGUACGGAGGUUAUGGCUAUGGCAGAUAAUUCACCAGAUCAAUUUUCAUACGAUAAACUCUCAUCACUGUUACAAAUUAAUUUUAUCAAGCAAUUCAAAUUUUUAUGAAAAAUAAACCAUGCGAUCAUCUAACCUA